GUGCCAGCAGCCGCGGUAAUACGAACUGUGCAAACGUUAUUCGGAAUCACUGGGCUUACAGGGUGCGUAGGCGGCUUGCUAAGUAGGGUGUGAAAUCCCCCGGCUCAACCGGGGAAUGGCGCCCUAAACUGGCGAGCUGGAGUGAGACAGAGGUGUGUGGAACUUCCGGUGGAGCGGUGAAAUGUGUUGAUAUCGGAAGGAACGCCGGUGGCGAAAGCGACACACUGGGUCUUGUCUGACGCUGAGGCACGAAAGCCAGGGGAGCGAACGGGAUUAGAAACCCGUGUAGUCC
rnacentral:rRNA from 1 species